rnacentral:rRNA from 1 species
AUUGAACGCUGGCGGCAUGCUUUACACAUGCAAGUCGAACGGUAACAGGCCUUCGGGUGCUGACGAGUGGCGAACGGGUGAGUAAUGCAUCGGAACGUACCCAGAGGUGGGGGAUAACGCAGCGAAAGCUGUGCUAAUACCGCAUGUGAUCUGAGGAUGAAAGCGGGGGACCGAGCAGCAAUGUUUGGCCUCGCGCCUUUGGAGCGGCCGAUGUCGGAUUAGCUAGUUGGUGGGGUAAAGGCCUACCAAGGCGACGAUCCGUAGCUGGUCUGAGAGGACGACCGGCCACACUGGGACUGAGACACGGCCCAGACUCCUACGGGAGGCAGCAGUGGGGAAUUUCGGACAAUGGGCGCAAGCCUGAUCCAGCAAUGCCGCGUGCGGGAAGAAGGCCUUCGGGUUGUAAACCGCUUUUGGCAGGAACGAAACGGUGUCCGCUAAUACCGGGCGCUAAUGACGGUACCUGCAGAAUAAGCACCGGCUAACUACGUG